UGAUUGGGAAAGUCAUUGACUACAGAUAGG
rnacentral:piRNA from 1 species